rnacentral:rRNA from 1 species
AAAAAAGAUAGCGUUGAAACAAGCAGGGACGGAGAAGGAUAGGUCAAGCAGCGGGCAUGGUUCGCUGUUCAAGCCUGUAGGUCGUUCGAAUAGGAGUCAAGAAGACACAAACGUUCAAACAUUAGGCCGAGAGGUGAUGAGGUGCCUUCGGGCAACAACUUGAUAAUUCCACGCUUCCAAGAAAAUCUGCGUGUAGAGCUACUUUGGAAUCCGUACUAUAAACCGACUCAGGUGGGUGAGAAGAGUAUUCUAAGGCGCGUGAGAGAACCCUGGUUAAGGAACUCUGCAAACUGACACCGUAACUUCGGGAGAAGGUGUGCCCUUUAGCGUGAUCCGAUUUACUCGGUGAGCGUCGAGGGGUUGCAGAGAAAUGGGGGUUGUGACUGUUUACUAAAAACCUAGCACUCUGCGAAGUCGAAAGACGACGUAUAGGGUGUGAUGCCUGCCCGGUGCUGGAAGGUUAAGGGGACGAGUCAGCGAAAGCGAAGCUCCGAACCGAAGCCCCAGUAAACGGCGGCCGUAACUAUAACGGUCCUAAGGUAGCAAAAUUCCUUGUCGGGUAAGUUCCGACCUGCACGAAUGGCAUAACAACAUCCCCGCUGUCUCGAUCAGGGACUCAGCGAAAUUGUAUUGGGGGUGAAGAUACCCUCUACCCGCAGCAAGACGGAAAGACCCUAUGAACCUUUACUGCAGCUUGGCAGUGAGUUUCGGAUGAUUCUGCGUAGGAUAAGUGGGAGGCUUUGAGACCGGGCUUCUGGGUUCGGUGGAGCCAACGUUGAAAUACCACUCUGAAUUAUCUGGGAUUCUAACCUGCACCCAUAACCUGGGUGAGGGACACUGUCUGGUGGGCAGUUUGACUGGGGCGGUCGCCUCCUAAAAAGUAACGGAGGCGUGCGAAGGUUCUCUUAGCCUGAUUGGAAGCCAGGCGUUAAGUGCAAAUGCAGAAGAGAGCUUAACUGCGAGACCGACAGGUCGAGCAGGUGCGAAAGCAGGCAUUAGUGAUCCGGUGGUUCCGCAUGGAAGGGCCAUCGCUUAUCGGAUAAAAGGUACUCUAGGGAUAACAGGCUGAUCGCGCCUGAGAGUUCACAUCGGCGGCGCGGUUUGGCACCUCGAUGUCGGCCCAUCGCAUCCUGGGGCUGGAGCAGGUCCCAAGGGUUCGGCUGUUCGCCGAUUAAAGCGGUACGCGAGCUGGGUUUAAAACGUCGUGAGACAGUUUGGUCCCUAUCUGCUGUGGGCGAAGGAUACUUGAGAGGAGCUGACUUUAGUACGAGAGGACCAAGUUGGACGUACCCCUGGUGAGCCAGUUGUUACGCCAGUAGUAUAGCUGGGUAGCCAUGUACGGAACGGAUAACCGCUGAAAGCAUCUAAGCGGGAAGCCGGCCUCAAGACCAGGUAUCCCUGUCGCAAGACACUAAAGACUCGUUGUAGACUACAACGUUGAUAGGCCAGAGGUGGAAGUGUGGCAACAUACGGAGCUGACUGGUACUAAUAAGUCGUGAGGCUUGUUCAU